UGAACGCUGGCGGCGUGCCUAAUACAUGCAAGUCGAGCGAACAGACGAGGAGCUUGCUCCUCUGACGUUAGCGGCGGACGGGUGAGUAACACGUGGAUAACCUACCUAUAAGACUGGGAUAACUUCGGGAAACCGGAGCUAAUACCGGAUAAUAUAUUGAACCGCAUGGUUCAAUAGUGAAAGACGGUUUUGCUGUCACUUAUAGAUGGAUCCGCGCCGCAUUAGCUAGUUGGUAAGGUAACGGCUUACCAAGGCAACGAUGCGUAGCCGACCUGAGAGGGUGAUCGGCCACACUGGAACUGAGACACGGUCCAGACUCCUACGGGAGGCAGCAGUAGGGAAUCUUCCGCAAAGGGCGAAAGCCUGACGGAGCAACGCCGCGUGAGUGAUGAAGGUCUUCGGUUCGUAAAACUCUGUUAUUAGGGAAGAACAAAUGUGUAAGUAACUAUGCACGUCUUGACGGUACCUAAUCAGAAAGCCACGGCUAACUACGUG
rnacentral:rRNA from 1 species